AAAAAAAGCUAUGACAUCUUGUCCACCACAGACUCAGAACAUGGCCAACAGUGGACAACAGUAGAAGAAUACACUCUGAACUAAAGAACUUCCUGCCCAACAAACAGGUACAAUUAUACAACUCUCUGCAAAAGAAGACGCAGGCAAAUGGAACGACAUCGAAAAAUAUGCAACAUCUAAAAAGGUUUUAAUGUUACUGAUCAGACAACAUUCCACAAUGGCAGCCUUAACCCUGCGCUGACAGAAGACCCUGAAGCACUCUGCCUUUGUGCUCGCAAUGAUGAGGCUAACCAACAAGAGCAGCCAAAUGAAGUGUGAAGCAUAUCCCUUCAAGCAAUGAAGUGAUCAUUCAAAGUCACAUUUCAAUGUGACAAAAUAUGGGAAAUUGGUAAUGUUUACAGGAGGUGCAUUAAAUUAUAAACGUAAACUUUGACAGAGACAUACACAUAUACUUCCUACCAUAUACUACUACCAAUCCCAUCUUUCAGAUGCUGACAAUGGAGACUACAUGUUGUUUAGGGUGU